rnacentral:rRNA from 1 species
GACGAACGCUGGCGGCGUGCUUAACACAUGCAAGUCGAACGAUGAAGCCGGAGCUUGCUCUGGUGAAUUAGUGGCGAACGGGUGAGUAACACGUGAGUAACCUGCCCUUGACUCUGGGAUAACUGCGGGAAACUGUAGCUAAUACCGGAUACGACCCUCGGGGGCAUCUCCUGGGGGUGGAAAGAAUUUCGGUCAAGGAUGGACUCGCGGCCUAUCAGCUAGUUGGUGAGGUAAAGGCUCACCAAGGCGACGACGGGUAGCCGGCCUGAGAGGGUGACCGGCCACACUGGGACUGAGACACGGCCCAGACUCCUACGGGAGGCAGCAGUGGGGAAUACUGCACAAUGGGCGCAAGCCUGAUACAGCAACGCCGCGUGAGGGAUGACGGCCUUCGGGUUGUAAACCUCUUUUAGCAGGGAAGAAGCGAAAGUGACGGUACCUGCAGAAAAAGCACCGGCUAACUACGUGCCAGCCGCCGCGGUAA